GUGAAAAAGCACAUACCAACAAAGGUGCUUGGACCAAAGAGGAAGACCAACGCCUCAUUCAUUACAUCCGUGUCCAUGGUGAAGGUUCUUGGCGUUCCCUUCCCAAAGCUGCCGGCCUACUUAGAUGUGGUAAGAGUUGCAGGUUAAGAUGGAUGAACUACUUAAGGCCUGAUCUUAAAAGAGGCAAUUUUACUGAAGAUGAGGACGAACUUAUCAUUAAACUUCACGGUUUACUUGGGAACAAGUCAGUUUUCUUCUUCUUUUAAUAUAUUUUCAGCUUUUUAGAUUUACUUGUUAUUGAAUGAACAUAUAUAUAUAUGGCAGAUGGUCUUUGAUAGCAGGAAGGUUACCUGGAAGAACAGAUAACGAGAUCAAGAACUACUGGAACACCCACAUCAAGAGAAAGCUUGUUAGCAGAGGGAUCGAUCCGCAAUCUCAUCGUCCUCUAAAUGGAAUAGCGAAAGCCACACCCACCGAGUUGGAUUUUAGAAACGCACCC
rnacentral:lncRNA from 1 species